rnacentral:rRNA from 1 species
CGUAGGGGGCAAGCGUUGUCCGGAUUUACUGGGCGUAAAGCGCGCGUAGGCGGAGCGUUAAGCGUGCCUUGAAAGCCCCCGGCUCAACCGGGGAAGGUGGGUGCGAACUGGCGCUCUUGAGGGCGAUAGAGGGGGGCGGAAUUCCUGGUGUAGCGGUGAAAUGCGUAGAGAUCAGGAGGAACACCCGUGGCGAAGGCGGCCCCCUGGGUCGGCCCUGACGCUGAGGCGCGAAAGCGUGGGGAGCGAACGGGAUUAGAUACCCCGGUAGUCCACGCCGUAAACGAUGGUCACUAGGUGUUUGUGGUAUCGACCCCACAAGUGCCGCAGCUAACGCAAGAAGUGACCCGCCUGGGGAGUACGGCCGCAAGGUUG